rnacentral:rRNA from 1 species
GACGAACGCCGGCGGCGUGCUUAACACAUGCAAGUCGAACGGAAAGGCCCUGCUUUUGUGGGGUGCUCGAGUGGCGAAAGGGUGAGUAACACGUGAGUAACCUGCCCUUGACUUUGGGAUAACUUCAGGAAACUGGGGCUAAUACCGGAUAGGAGCGCCUGCUGCAUGGUGGGGGUUGGAAAGUUUCGGCGGUUGGGGAUGGACUCGCGGCUUAUCAGCUUGUUGGUGGGGGAGUGGCUUACCAAGGCUUUGACGGGUAGCCGGCCUGAGAGGGUGACCGGGCAAAAUGGGAAUGGGGAACGGCCCCGAAUCCUAAGGGGGGCAGGAGUGGGGAAUAAUGGCCAAUGGGCGGGAGGCUGAUGCAGCAACGCCGCGUGCGGGAUGACGGCCUUCGGGUUGUAAACCGCUUUCGCCUGUGACGAAGCGUGAGUGACGGUAAUGGGUAAAGAAGCACCGGCUAACUACGUG